AUUGAACGCUGGCGGCAGGCUUAACACAUGCAAGUCGAGCGGGGACUUCGGUCCUAGCGGCGAACGGGUGAGGAAUGCUUUGGAAUCUGCCCAGUAGUGGGGGAUAACGUUUCGAAAGGAACGCUAAUACCGCAUACGUCCUACGGGAGAAAGGGGGGGAUCUUCGGACCUCUCGCUAUUGGAUGAGCCAAAGUCGGAUUAGCUAGUUGGUGGGGUAAAGGCCCACCAAGGCGACGAUCCGUAGCUGGUCUGAGAGGAUGAUCAGCCACACUGGAACUGAGACACGGUCCAGACUCCUACGGGAGGCAGCAGUGGGGAAUAUUGGACAAUGGGCGAAAGCCUGAUCCAGCCAUGCCGCGUGUGUGAAGAAGGCCUUCGGGUUGUAAAGCACUUUAAGUGGGGAGGAAUGGCUCUUGGCUAAUAACCUUGAGCAGUGACGUUACCCACAGAAUAAGCACCGGCUAACUCUGUGCCAGCCGCCGCUGUAACAC
rnacentral:rRNA from 1 species